rnacentral:rRNA from 1 species
UACAGAGGUCCCAAGCGUUGUUCGGAUUCACUGGGCGUAAAGGGUGCGUAGGUGGUUGGGUAAGUCUGAUGUGAAAUCUCCGGGCUCAACCCGGAAAUGGCAUUGGAUACUAUUCGGCUAGAGGUUUGGAGGGGGGACUGGAAUUCCUGGUGUAGCGGUGAAAUGCGCAGAUAUCAGGAGGAACACCGGUGGCGAAGGCGGGUCUCGUGGGCCGAUGACUGACGCUGAGGAGCGAAAGCGUGGGGAGCGAACAGG